CCCUCUGUGGACAUGGCGGCGAAAGACUGACGAGAGCGCUUUGAACGUUUCUCAAUACCAAGUACUGGCUAAAGAAGGAACUUGGGAACUUCGAUCGGGGAGUACAAAGCUUUCUCGAAGAAGAAGAGGAAGAGCGGAUCCGUGAAAGAAGAGCCAGGAUUGAAACAGCGCCCCCUACAGAAGCCGUCCCAGGACUGUCAUGGUUAAGAUGCAUACGUCUCUCCACUAGAGGAAGCAAGGCUCACACAUGCUUUUACAGAACAACAAGGACUUGAGGCUCCACACUCACCUGCCGUGGCUACCUUGACCAGUUCAUCAUUGCUGAAUUCAUUCAAGUGCUGUUUCAUCUCAGAGACGGCCUUAGUCACUGGGCCGAAGGUGAAGUAGGGGUUGACGCUAACUGUAGG